AACUUUAAACUUUGAUUUGGGCCCGGUCUUUUCACCUCCGAAUAAAUAUGCUCUUAUCUGGCAGUUAGCUAUCUGGAGGAUAAAUAUUUAUUCGCCAGAUAAAAAGUACCCGUCUUUUCACGUCAAUUUAUGUUCCAGUUAGUUAUCCGGUAGAUAAGCUUAAAAGUAAGUUUGGAUUCCGAACACACCUUCAGCUUUAACUUAACCUAACAUAAUUAGAUUCAAAGUAUUUCAAAGAUGAUUUUAUCGAUUUUAUUUCCAUUUUGGAAGAAGGAAUGAAGGAAAUAAGGAAAACAUUGAUUAUGCUGAAAUAGUUUACUGGAGAGCUUGAACAAGAGGUAAAUCCAUUUUAAAUUAGAGGAAAACUGUUGAUUUGUAUGUAAAAUAGAAGACAAAGACAAGUUUAAAUAAAGACAAGCUAGCUAAUGAAAUAGAUGCAGUGAUAUGACAAACACCUAGAAGAUGGAAUCCUGUGUUCUCAAAGAAAAAGCUAGUUCCAGAAAUAAGCUACCAAUAAUAAACUAGAGAAUGUAUUACAAGAAAGAACAACGCUAAUACCCAACAUAGCUCAAUUGCUUCAGAUAGAAAAAGAGGAGGAAAGGGUAGAACACAAGCGUGCCAGAGAAAAUUAAAGGGCAGAAGAGACACAAAAAUUCAUUGAUUUAUUAAAUUUAAUAAUUAAAUUAUACAAAGGACAAUUAAAUAAAGAAUAAAAAAUUA